AUACGUAGGUGGCAAGCGUUAUCCGGAUUUACUGGGUGUAAAGGGCGCGUAGGCGGGGGUGCAAGUCAGAUGUGAAAUCUAUGGGCUUAACUCAUAAACUGCAUUUGAAACUGUAUCUCUUGAGUGCUGGAGAGGUAGACGGAAUUCCUUGUGUGGCGGUGAAAUGCGUAGAUAUAAGGAAGAACACCAGUGGCGAAGGCGGUCUACUGGACAGUAACUGACGCUGAGGCGCGAAAGCGUGGGGAGCAAACAGGAUUAGAUACCCUGGUAGUCCACGCUGUAAACGAUGAAUACUAGGUGUGGGGGGACUGACCCCCUCUGUGCCGCAGUUAACACAAUAAGUAUUCCACCUGGGGAGUACGGCCGCAAGGUUGAAACUCAAAUGAAUUGACGGGG
rnacentral:rRNA from 1 species